AGAGCGAACGCUGGCGGCAGGCUUAACACAUGCAAGUCGAGCGGGCGUAGCAAUACGUCAGCGGCAGACGGGUGAGUAACGCGUGGGAACGUACCUUUUGGUUCGGAACAACCCAGGGAAACUUGGGCUAAAUACCGGAUAAGCCCUUACGGGGAAAGAUUUAUCGCCGAAAGAUCGGCCCGCGUCUGAUUAGCUAGUUGGUGAGGUAAUGGCUCACCAAGGCGACGAUCAGUAGCUGGUCUGAGAGGAUGAUCAGCCACAUUGGGACUGAGACACGGCCCAAACUCCUACGGGAGGCAGCAGUGGGGAAUAUUGGACAAUGGGCGCAAGCCUGAUCCAGCCAUGCCGCGUGAGUGAUGAAGGCCCUAGGGUUGUAAAGCUCUUUUGUGCGGGAAGAUAAUGACGGUACCGCAAGAAUAAGCCCGGCUAACUUCGUGCUAGCAGCCGC
rnacentral:rRNA from 1 species